AUAUUGAAUUUUUUCUUGAAAAAGAAGGUGAUGUAUGUAAUGACAUAUCUUGCAUGUUCAAAACUUUUUGUUGCAGAAAGUUGUUGAGGUCUGCUGUGCGUUCGUAGUUAAUUAUUAUAAAAAAAUAAUUACUAAACCAAAACUUAAAAUUAACAAACUCGGUAAAAUAGAGAGAAUAGUGAUCAUUUAAAUAAAAUGCCAUCAAAUUACAGAACAUGAUCUCUGAUCACAUACAGACAUAGAGGAACUGGUUGUACCAAAUCUUCUUGCAGGUAUGAUCCGAGUGAUGGACUAAAACAAAACUGUGUAUUUAGUUUGUGGAGGAGUAGAGUCAGAUAAAAUGAAAGACUACACUUUAUUGAAAAAACUAAAGGCCUAUAAAUAGGCAAUACAUCAACUAACAAACUAAUAAAAUAGCAACCACUUUUACCACUAAGAACAUUCUAAUAAAGCAGUAAACACUGAGCUAAAACGUGGCUUCAACAAGAGCCACAACAAACUCCUAAAUAAAAGACACUCCUAAAUAGUAGGUGUUGUGAAAUCAAGCUCACACAAAUACACUAAGAUAAAUACAAACACACUACUGUAUGAGAUAAAAAAAUAAUAACACAAGAAUUUUACGUGGAAACCCAACUGGGAAAAACCACGGGAAAAGAUCUCAGAAAAUCACUAUGAAAAUAAUAUGGAGAUUACAAACUCUCAACUGAGAAAUAAACUAACUGUUUAUUUCUCUCUACACCCUCACUUUCUGAAUGCUCUAACUGAGCUUCUCACUCUCUAACUCUCUUUGACACUCAAACUAGAGCUUUGCUCUUCUUCUCUCUAAG
rnacentral:lncRNA from 1 species